rnacentral:lncRNA from 1 species
GAUUAUUCACCAACAGCUACACAUAAUCUUAUUCAAUUGCUCUUCAAGGUUUUGUACAAAGCAUUAAUCGGAUUAGGAUGUUGAAAAUUAUUCAUACUCCGUAAUGACAGCGUGUAAAGUUCUGGGUAAUUUUCUUUAUAAGCAUACCAAUAGAUUACAAUAUCUAAAGAAACUUUCUAAAUUAUACCACACCAUUAUGUACAUAGAGUGAUCCCACAAAUGAGAAAACAGCAGGCAGAUUGAUUCUCCACUCUAAAUAUGUAUAGUAAUCUCCUCCAACAUUACCUGCAGAAAAUUGAGAUGAAAUGAAAAUCCCUCUCUCCGUAUCAUCAACAAUAUCAGUUAAAAUGGGCAAGUUUAGUAUGCAGUAAUAGAUAGUACGUUGGUAUUGUCCAUUGUUAUAGACAACAAUUUAUGGUCGGGUUACAUGUAUAUCACAAUUUACAUAUUUGUUUACCAAGCGAAAUUUGAUUGGAUCAAAAUCUCAUCAACCAAAUAAAACAAGAUAAAUUUCCCCACUUUCUUGAUACCUCAUCAUCUGUAAAAUAUUACGUAAAUGGUGAUGUACAAGAAGCGUUUUCCAACAUCUUAACAUCUGAACUUACCAGUUAAACAAGUGAAUUCUGACUUGAUUAGAGUGCCAUCUCUGCUUGCAAAGCGGCAAGUUCAUCUUCCUCUGUAUGUUUCUGAGGAGCAGGGCGAGCAGGUACUCUGCCUUCUGGGACUUGAACUGGAGCAGCUGGGGC